UUUUUCUACUCUUGCUUAGAUGAUAGAACUUUGCUCGCUCAGAUAUCACUAGUUGUUACUACUCUAUUUGUACUAUUUCUUGCUUUUACUUUCGCUUUUAUUGUAGACGCCUUAUAUGUGUUGACAUAUGGCGGGUCUGGGCGCGCUACCGGGAAGGCCCUGCCGGUCCCGGGGCGUGACAAGUGAUGAGGAGUAUGUUAUUGAAACUGAUGAAGCGGAUCAAGGGCGAAUUGAUGCUGAUUCUAGUGAUGACGAGGAACGCUUUGUUCCGUGUU
rnacentral:lncRNA from 1 species